rnacentral:rRNA from 1 species
CGGACGGGUGAGUAAUGUCUGGGAAACUGCCUGAUGGAGGGGGAUAACUGCUGGAAACGGUAGCUAAUACCGCAUAACGUCGCAAGACCAAAGAGGGGGACCUUCGGGCCUCUUGCCAUCGGAUGUGCCCAGAUGGGAUUAGCUAGUAGGUGGGGUAACGGCUCACCUAGGCGACGAUCCCUAGCUGGUCUGAGAGGGUGGCCAGCCACACUGGAACUGAGACACGGUCCAG